AAAUCAGAAUCUGCCAAGUUUUAUAGGUCAACUUCCACGGGACCUAUAGGAAAUCUCACUCACUGGAAAAUGGUGAAAUUGGUACCAUUGGAAAGGUCUAUGUGUCUACUUUCCAGGGACACCAACCAUUUGAUCAUACCUAUCAUAUUGAGUGAGUUAUGGCCGUUUUCGUAAAGUAGGACGAAUCUGUCCGAGAAUCUGAUUUUGGCAAAACAGUCAACUUCGACGGGAUUUUGUGAACAGCUCCUGAUGAACCAGAAUGUGUGUAAUAUACGGUUGGAAAGCUAAAUGAGUCUAGUUUCCAAAAACGUUUACGGUUCGUUCAUAUGUAUUUCCUAGAGGAAGUUACGACUGUUCUAGUAAUUGAAGGUCAUGCUGCGCGGAAAUCUGAUUUCUUGCACGAACUUAUGUUUUGAGUUCACAAGCGACCUUCUCCUCAAGAUCUAAGUGAAAAGAUCAUUUGAGAACAAUACGGCAUGAUUUAGUUAAUCAUUGCCCAAUGCCACAUUUGAAGACAUGUUAAAGAGCAUUGACAUGCUAAGUUGUUGAAACUUCCGUGAUUAGUGAGAAUUAGGAAGAGCCCUAUGAUUGAUGUAAAGAUCAGGGGGAGGUACGAAUUUCAGGGGGAGUCUAUAGCACAUACAUACGGUUGGAAAGCUAAAUGAGUCUAGUCUAUAGCACAUACAUGUCACUAUCAAAUGUGAAUGGUGCGUUGUACUCUUUUUCUCCUACGAUCAAGGUUCAGUUUUUCUCCCACAGGGUUUUUGUGACUUGACGAGGUUUUUGACGAGGCAACAGAUCAGCACCAUCGGCAUAUCAGCGCGCGGCACAAGGGGGAUGUUCUAGGAUAUUCUCUAUGUGUGCCUUGGCCUUAUGUCAAUAGGAUAUGUAGUUAGACUAGAUCUAUGUAUUCAUAUCCUUACCAUAUUGGUAUUGUGUAAUUCCCUAUAUAAAGGGCUCCUAUCAAUGAAUAGAUGAUGAUUCUCUUGCUAUCUCUUUG
rnacentral:lncRNA from 1 species